GAUGAACGCUGACAGAAUGCUUAACACAUCAGCAAUUGAUUGGUGGCGGACGGGCGAGUAACGCGUACAGAACUUGCCUCCCAGGUAGGGACAACAUUUGGAAACGAAUGCUAAUACCUAAUACUGUGAGAGAGCUUUGCGUCCCAUUAGCUAGUUGGAGAGGUAACGGCUCACCAAGGCGAUGAUGGGUAGACGGCCUGGGAGGGUGAUCGGCCACAAGGGGACUGGGACACCGCCCUUAGGCAUACGGGAGGCAGGAGUGAAGAAUAUUGGACAAUGGACCAAAGGUGGAGCCAGUAAUUCUGUGUGCAAGAUGAAUUUUUCGGAAUGUAGAGUGCUUUCAGUUGAGAAGCGGUACCAACAGAAGAAGUGACGGCUAAAUACGUGCCAGCAGCCGCGGUAAUAC
rnacentral:rRNA from 1 species